GUCGGAGGAAAUUAUGGUAGAUGUACAUGUCAUUUAGAUAUAUUUUUAAAAAAGAUGUUCAAGAGUUACCUAUAUAUUCUUCUCUUCUGGACAUUGUUAGGUGAGUACAUUAUUGAGAAAAUGUCUUACAACAGUGGAACAUAGUAUUAUAUAUGUGUCAAGAAUAUUGUACCUGGUAACGAUAUCUUGAAAAAUAAUAUUUGAAAGAUGUUAUACCACUCAAGAUCAUUAUCAAGAAAGAGACAAAAGACAAAACAUAACUUUUUUUAUCAGUAUCAAAUGAAUUAAAUAUUUAUUAUGAAAAAAGUAAGUAAUUUUAUACACAAACAUAAAGACUUGGUCAAGAUAAAGAAACUUGUUAUGGUACCACGAUUUUAUUAUAAGAGAAUGUUUCACUUAACUCCGUAUAAGUGACCUCAAUCUUGGAAUUGAAAAGGGUAGAUAUUUAUCUAAAAUUUCAAUGGAGAAAAUAAACUUUGCAAACUAUGCAGUGUUCUGUAAAACGAGGAACCGUUCUUCUUGGAGUGUACUUAAUGUGAUAUUAUUGUAGUAAACAUUUUUCUUGAAUGACAAAGAUUAGUUAAUUAUGAUACCAUUUCAAUAUUUACUUCUUAUCUUAAACACAUAUUUUAUUAUUCCUAUAAUUUUAAAGGAUAUACACUAUUUCUCGAUUUAUAGGUAUGUUUACUGACAACAAGGUAGUACAUGGCCAUACCCUAAUCGACCAAAGGACUACCCCAAGUAUGAACAAGACAAAUGAAAUCAGAUCAAUUAAUAAUCCAAAAAGUCAUGAAAGUG
rnacentral:lncRNA from 1 species